rnacentral:rRNA from 1 species
UACGAAGGGUGCAAGCGUUACUCGGAAUUACUGGGCGUAAAGCGUGCGUAGGUGGUUUGUUAAGUCUGAUGUGAAAGCCCUGGGCUCAACCUGGGAACUGCAUUGGAAACUGGCUGACUAGAGUGCGGUAGAGGGGUGUGGACUUCCCGGUGUAGCAGUGAAAUGCGUAGAUAUCGGGAGGAACACCAGUGGCGAAGGCGACACCCUGGACCAGCACUGACACUGAGGCACGAAAGCGUGGGGAGCAAACAGG